UACGAAGGGGGCUAGCGUUGCUCGGAAUCACUGGGCGUAAAGGGUGCGUAGGCGGGUCUUUAAGUCAGGGGUGAAAUCCUGGAGCUCAACUCCAGAACUGCCUUUGAUACUGAGGAUCUUGAGUACGGGAGAGGUGAGUGGAACUGCGAGUGUAGAGGUGAAAUUCGUAGAUAUUCGCAAGAACACCAGUGGCGAAGGCGGCUCACUGGCCCGUAACUGACGCUGAGGCACGAAAGCGUAGGGAGCAAACAGG
rnacentral:rRNA from 1 species